rnacentral:tRNA from 1 species
GGGUGGUUUGCUCAGUGGUUAGAGCUUAGGUCUCUUAACCGAAAUGUCUCGGGAUCGAAUCCCGCUAGAGGCUG